UAGAUUAUUAUAUAUCAUAAAAAAAUUGUAUAAAAGUAUAACAAAAAAUAUGUUAUAUAUAUUGUUCUAAUUUUGUUUGGCCCUCCUAGAGUAAAUUCCUGGCUCCGCCACUGGUAGUGGGAAAUUUAUGAUUGAUAUUUGUAGUGCUGGGAUUAUUUGCAAUUGGUUAAAGGAGUGAUUUUGGCUCUUUUUGAGCUAUGGGUCGGGUUUUAGAAUUUUGUUAGAUAUGUUGAUUUUGUACUGAUAUGAGCCAUUAACAUGGAGUGAUAUUUUUCUGGAUUAGGUUAUGAAACUGCUAUUGUUCAGGUUUAAGGUGUAAUUGGAUUGGUUUUGUAUACUGCAAAAGUUAGGUCUGAAAUAUUGAAGAUUUAUUUACAUUGAAGGGGCUGGGAUUGACACUGUGUAUAUUGAUUUCGUCGACUAGUUUGUGUUGGCAAUUUCCACCCAAGAGUUCGAUAAAAUUCCCAAUAAAGAACAGAAAGCAAAACAAACGAAACCAUGGGCAAGCAAGAAGGGGGGAUACCCUCACCGAGGGUAUCAAAAGUUAUGAUUUUGUUAUUCUUCAGUAGAAGAAUGCUCCCAAGAGGAUACCGUGUAAGGGAGAGUUAGGGAUGCAUACAUUGUAAAUUUGUAAUUUAGGGAUGUUUUCUAUCA